rnacentral:snoRNA from 1 species
UGCAGUCGAGUCAAAUUCGGCCCUCAUCUCGCCGUGGUGGGGGCCAGCCCAGAUGGCUGCCACAGCAAGCUCUGCUGCUCAUGGGCUCUGGGUCCCCUGCCUGGGACCCGGGGAUAAGUUUGGCUGCGGACAUAG